AUUUUAUCUAUAUCUCAUUUCGCAAUUACUAUCUACAUCCUGGAAUUGAGGGUGUUAAUAUUCGUUCUUCAGUUAAUACUUGAGAGUAUAUCUAUAGUGUAUCUGCUCCAUUUGUAUUCACCGAUUUGGAUGUUCCGAACUGUACAAAUACUGUAUCAGGAAUUCAAGAAUUUUAUUAGCUUUCCUCCUACAAGGGGGACUGAGGGAGCUCUCAUAAAGACUUUCCUCUCAAUAUUUGAAAUUGAAGAACAUUUUGAAAGGAGAUUUGUGUGCUGUUCUUUUCCAUUUCUCAAGGCAGGAUCCACCGCCUAUCAAAAGGCGCUUGGAAUUAAAAAUCGAUCAGGAGAAAGGUCAGAUCUGUCCAUUUUGAGCAAUUUGUAGAAUUACUUUGUAAAUAAUUAGGAAUAAGUAUUUUAGGAUUAGAUUCAACAAGGUACCUUGGGAUUUUUGGGAAUUUUGGUUCAAUAGAUAUUAAUGAAGUUUCAUAUUUUCUUCAUCAUUUAAUUUUCCUCACAUAUGAUAUAUUCCAAUUUUCUAUAAUACACUUUCCAGAUUUUGUGUAAUUUUCAACAUCAUUGCAUUUAAUUGUGAAAUAGAAAUCUGGUGGCGCCCAAUAAAUUAAUUUUAAUUUCAUUUAAAACUAAACACCCUCCUUAUCCGCGACCUAGCCCUCUAAAGACUACAACAGCUGCCAAUUGCAUUAUUUUGCCCAGUUCAGUUAUAUAAAUUUCUUAAUAACAAAAAUAAAUAAAAAGGCGGUGGCAAUCUA